rnacentral:rRNA from 1 species
UACGGGGGGAGCAAGCGUUGUUCGGAUUUACUGGGCGUAAAGGGCGCGUAGGCGGCCACCGCAAGUCGAUUGUGAAAUCUCCGGGCUUAACCCGGAAAGGUCAACCGAUACUGCGGGGCUAGAGUGCAGAAGGGGCAACUGGAAUUCUCGGUGUAGUGGUGAAAUGCGUAGAGAUCGGGAGGAACACCUGUGGCGAAGGCGGCCCCCUGGGCCGGCCCUGACACUGAGACGCGAAGGCGUGGGGAGCGAACGGG